rnacentral:lncRNA from 1 species
GCCGAUCUCUUUUGCAGCCCAAUAAUCUUCGACCCGGUCCAACCCACCACCAUCUCCUCUUCUUAACUGUAAACGACAUCGCCAAACACACCACCAGUGAACAACAAAACACCAAAAAUAGCAAAACCUGACCCAGCUUGACUCCGACAACUAAUGACACCCAACAUCGACAGAACCCGACUAGUUCACUGAUUCAACGACAGCGAACCCAUUAACCCGAAGUCACCCCAUGAUUACAGCGACAACGAAUCGUUCGACCACAACAGCUCAGCAUCAAACUGUUUUGUAAGAUUUUCGUACAAUUCUACAGCUCAUCCCUAUCCUCCUCAACUUCAAAUUCAAAUUUCUCCUUUAAAAAAUCCAAAAAUACCUUUGUUUUUUCAUUUUCCGCCCACAUCGGUGGAAAUAUAAUUGGGUUCCCAAAAUUCAUCCUAUAAAUAGCUCAUUUGGGAGAAAAAACAACCAAGUCUUGAAGGUUGGAAAAAAUACUUUCAAGCAAAGAGUUAUUUUCUAGGAAACAAUUUUUUUUGCGAAAAGUAGUCCACUACUCAGAGUCAUCGGAAUCGCAUCAAAGCUUUUCGGUGGUGGUUGAACUUCCUUCACAGGCUUGAGUCCUGUUUUGCUGCUCCAAAAUAGGUAAGACCUCAUUCCGUUUAGUUUUGAUUUUACAUUCUUCUUCAUCUUGUCAUUCUUUAGCAGUGUUUUGGAUAGUAUGUAUGCUAAUACUGUUUGAUGUUAGAGGCUUUGAAAGUCAUAGGUUGUAUGAUACAUGUAAAUGUUUAUUGUUGUGUCUAUUGCGUAGCCCAAUUCUUUCUUUUGCAAGAGCUGAUACAAGACCGUUAAUAGUCAUUAAUCUUCGUUCUUGAAUAUUGUAGUGGUUAGAGUAUUACCUUUUCGUUAAUCAAAUUCUUUAUUAUGUUGUCCGUUCUCAUGUAGCCUAAGUAUUGGUCCCAUCCUAAAUUUCAUACCUUUAUCUUGCUCUAAGUUUUGCUUUGUCGUAAAGCUUGAAUUUUUGGCUUCAUUUAGGAAAUUUUGAUUUCAUGAAAUCACUGUGUUGUCUCGAAAUAUUGAUCGUUGUAAUUUGAUUAAGGUUUUAGUUCAUUGUCAAGCUAUGCCUUUUUUUUUUUUUUUUAUAAUCUAUUUCCUAGUUCACAUGCUUGGAUAUGGACUCACUGUGUUGUCUCGAAAUGUUGAUCGUUGUAAUUCGAUUAAGGUUUUAGUUCAUUGCCAAGCUAUGCCUAUUUAUAUAAUUUAUUUUUCUGGUUCACAUGCUGGGAUAUGGACUCACUGUUUUGUUUCGAAAAUGUUGUUCGUCGCAAUUUGAUUGAGAUUUUAAGUUAUUAGUUCAUUGUCAAACUCUAUUCCCUUCCCACAAUUUGCUUCCUCGUUUACUAUUUCAUUAUAAACACCUUUUUGAGUCUGAUGAUACUUUGUCUUGCUAUGUUAAGCUUCAAACUGCUGGUCUUGAUUAGCAAUUUACUAGGUGAAAAUUUUAUAGAGUAGAUUUUUGUCUCCAUUUUGGAUAGUUAAAUUGAUCCGUUAGCUCCUUGUAUUUCUUUAUCUGUGGUAACAUGAGAAUCUCAUAUAUAGUUUUGGUAUUACCUGAUUUAUUAAAUUAUGUGACUGCAUUUUAAAUUUACCGUUAGAAGGUUUAGCAUUUUGUUGUUUUUGGGAUUGAGUGUGACUCCCUUUGCUUUCUUUGGUUUAGUUGUUUUAUCUCCGCUAUAACAUGAAAAUAAAAUGAGUGACCCACUUGCGUCUGAUAAUAAGUAUAAUGAUACUAGAAUAGCCUCACAGUAGUUUUCCUAGUAACGUUGCCUAAUCAUUAUCAACAAACUUUUGUUUGCUAUUCAUAAUUGUAUCUUGGCUAAGAAAAUGCUUCAGUAAUAUACUUUUUUCUCUUACUUUCUUUAUUCAUAGUUUGAUGUUUUCUUUACGCUUGAGAAUGCUAUUUUUCAUCUCAUUAUUUAUCCAUUUAGUGUAGGAUUUUUGCACAUGUAUUAAUUUGCGUAUUUUUUCUUUGCAUGAGCCCGCUUUCGAGUUCAAAUGGACUAUUUCCCAUUGUUGCAUUAUCGAUAUGGACCAUUGAGGUCCAUCCCUCCCAAGUCAAUUUUGAAGGCCCAAAAAGACAAUCAUAUUACAUACGGAUGCGAGAAGAUGGAAGAAGCAGAAAUGGGUAGAAACCCAUUGACAAUGUGGCUAAAAGAAUUGAAAAUCUCGUGACAUUUUAUUAUUAUCAUUAUACUAUUAUUAUUGUUUUGCUUGUCUUAUUUCAUUCAGUUAUUUAUUUAUUCAUUCAUUUGAGGCCUCAAAGUCAAAGUUGUAAACCAAUACAGGUGAAGCGAAACUCGGGCCAAUGGUUAAAAAAUAGUUUAGGACAGGUGAAGAUGGGCCAGAUGCCCAAAAUGAGUAGUUUAGGAUAGGAGAUAGGUCGAAAGCCCAAUUAGAUUAGGACAGGGUUGAUAGAUUUAGGCUUAAGAGCCUAAAUCACUUAUUUCUCCACCUUUCCCUUAUUUCUCCACGUUUAUCUAUUAUAUGUUUAUCUAUUAUAUGUUUUUUCGAACCUAGUUAAAUUUUCUACUAAGUCAUUAAAAAACUAACUUUGCAUAAACCUCAAAAAAUAUUUUCUCAAUCAAUUUUCUUUUCAACGACCAAUUUUCUUUUUAAAGUUAGUCAAAAGAAUCAUUUUCAAAUAGUCCGGAUAACUGCAAGUUAACAGACAUUUUAGGUGUCUUAAAAACCUUUCUAAGAUGUUAAUAAGAACCUCUUACUCGGGAUUUUUUUUAAAGGCCU